CAAAGUAACUCACUAAACUUCAAUGCAAUUCUUCAAACUCUUUGACAUGUUCCUGAUUUCUUGUUCUGAGUUUACCAUGCUGGUUCUUGAGUUUAAGGAGCAGCUUUUUUUCCAUAAACCUCUUCGCUUCCUCACCGAAGCUUUGAAGAUGAUCACCUUCGCUUUGUUCCUCUCUCUUCUCGCUCUAGUUGGUGCGUCUGUGGGAACUGUGAUCGGAGCCUUCAAAGGGCAUGGCACGGGGAUAGGCGCUAUUGCCGGCGCGGCCGUAGCCCUUCAGAUAUUCAGCUCCAGUGCAUCCGGGCAUAGAUAUUGUUUAUCAAGGGUAGGCUUUUCAGUAUAUCAAAGGAAGCAAUAAUGGAGAGGCUGAUGGAUGGGAAGGGGUUGAUGAACUGGGCAAGCAACUUCUCUGAGUAUAUGUAUCGAGAGAUAUCGGAGUUUGUCGACGUUGCCGGAGAAAGUUGUGUAGAAGGGUUGUCGAUGGAGAGUGUCCAAAUGUUACCUGUUUGUGAAUAUGAUCACACCACUGUCAACUCAAUUUCUUGUUCUAUUUGCUUAGAGGAAUUUGAAGAUGGAGAAAUUGGUAGGAUACUUCCAAAUUGUGAUCAUUUCUUUCAUGUGGUUUGCAUAGACCAAUGGCUACACUUGCAUGGAUCUUGCCCAUUUUGUAGGAAAUUUUGUAUUUAAACCAUACCUCAUUAAGUCAUUAUUAUAAUGUUAAAUUAAUUUUGUUUUUUUUUUCUUCUUCCAUAUAAAUAAAAACAAAGAGAAGAUGUAUAU